rnacentral:rRNA from 1 species
CAGCAGCCGCGGUAAUACCGGCGGCCCGAGUGGCGGUCACUAUUAUUGGGCUUAAAGCGUCCGUAGCCGGGUUGGGAAGUCCUCCGGGAAAUCUGGCCGCUUAACGGUCAGAAUGCCGGAGGAUACUCCCAGCCUAGGGAGCGGGAGAGGCCGAGGGUAUUCCCGGAGUAGGGGUGAAAUCCUAUAAUCCCGGGAGGACCACCUGUGGCGAAGGCGCUCGGCUGGAACGCGUCCGACGGUGAGGGACGAAGGCCAGGGGAGCAAACCGGAUUAGAUACCCGGGUAGUCCUGGCUGUAAACGAUGCGGACUUUGUGUCGGACAAGCUAUGAGCUUGUCCGGUGCCGGAGGGAAACCGUUAAGUCCGCCGCCUGGGGAGUACGGCCGCAAGGCUGAAACUUAAAGGAAUUGCGGG